rnacentral:rRNA from 1 species
AGAGUUUGAUUCUGGCUCAGAACGAACGCUGGCGGCGUGGAUAAGACAUGCAAGUCGAACGAGAGAAUUGCUAGCUUGCUAAUAAUUCUCUAGUGGCGCACGGGUGAGUAACACGUGAGUAACCUGCCCCCAAGAGUGGGAUAGCCCCGGGAAACUGGGAUUAAUACCGCAUAAAAUCGCAAGAUUAAAGCAGCAAUGCGCUUGGGGAUGGGCUCGCGUCCUAUUAGUUAGUUGGUGAGGUAACGGCUCACCAAGGCGAUGACGGGUAGCCGGUCUGAGAGGAUGUCCGGCCACACUGGAACUGAGACACGGUCCAGACACCUACGGGUGGCAGCAGUCGAGAAUCAUUCACAAUGGGGGAAACCCUGAUGGUGCGACGCCGCGUGGGGGAAUGAAGGUCUUCGGAUUGUAAACCCCUGUCAUGUGGGAGCAAAUUAAAAAGAUAGUACCACAAGAGGAAGAGACGGCUAACUCUGUGCCAGCAGCCGCGGUAAUACAGAGGUCUCAAGCGUUGUUCGGAAUCACUGGGCGUAAAGCGUGCGUAGGCGGUUUCGUAAGUCGUGUGUGAAAGGCGGGGGCUCAACCCCCGGACUGCACAUGAUACUGCGAGACUAGAGUAAUGGAGGGGGAACCGGAAUUCUCGGUGUAGCAGUGAAAUGCGUAGAUAUCGAGAGGAACACUCGUGGCGAAGGCGGGUUCCUGGACAUUAACUGACGCUGAGGCACGAAGGCCAGGGGAGCGAAAGGGAUUAGAUACCCCUGUAGUCCUGGCAGUAAACGGUGCACGCUUGGUGUGCGGGGAAUCGACCCCCUGCGUGCCGGAGCUAACGCGUUAAGCGUGCCGCCUGGGGAGUACGGUCGCAAGAUUAAAACUCAAAGAAAUUGACGGGGACCCGCACAAGCGGUGGAGUAUGUGGCUUAAUUCGAUGCAACGCGAAGAACCUUACCUGGGCUUGACAUGUAAUGAACAACAUGUGAAAGCAUGCGACUCUUCGGAGGCG